rnacentral:sRNA from 1 species
AAACACCCGCGUUAGCGAUAGAAACGGUAUCCUUUUUUACGUCAGUUCGAGUAUUUUGUGAAGCAUGAGCAAAAUGUAUCGAGAACAAGUAAAAAAGAUUUAGUGGAUAGCGCGACCCUUG